CAUGUUUCAAGGUUCAACAAUCAGAAGAUAGAGUAUAAAAUGGAACUAAGUAUUCCAACACCUGUUUUCUCUUACUUGUACACCUGGUUGAGAAAAUGCUGUAAAAUGAACAUUCCAAAAGAGCAACCUUCUUCAAUAGCCACAAAAAUUCAAGAGUAUGAAGAAAUGCAUACACCUGAAAAGAAAUUGGGAAGAUCUUCUGAAGCUCAGUUGAGUGAAAAACGCUUUCCCUCUGGAUCUGUGGUAAGUUUGUCCCAGAGGGAUUCCAAGACAUGUAAAGACCUAUAGCAUUUUCAAUG
rnacentral:lncRNA from 1 species